UCCACACAGUAAACGAUGAAUACUCGCUGUUUGCGAUAUACAGUAAGCGGCCAAGCGAAAGCAUUAAGUAUUCCACCUGGGGAGUACGCCGGCAACGGUGAAACUCAAAGGAAUUGACGGGGGCCCGCACAAGCGGAGGAACAUGUGGUUUAAUUCGAUGAUACGCGAGGAACCUUACCCGGGCUUAAAUUGCAGUGGAAUGAUGUGGAAACAUGUCAGUGAGCAAUCACCGCUGUGAAGGUGCUGCAUGGUUGUCGUCAGCUCGUGCCGUGAGGUGUCGGCUUAAGUGCCAUAACGAGCGCAACCCUUAUCUUCAGUUACUAACAGGUCAUGCUGAGGACUCUGGAGAGACUGCCGUCGUAAGAUGUGAGGAAGGUGGGGAUGACGUCAAAUCAGCACGGCCCUUACGUCCGGGGCUACACACGUGUUACAAUGGGGGGUACAGAAGGCAGCUAGCGGGUGACCGUAUGCUAAUCCCAAAAUCCUCUCUCAGUUCGGAUCGAAGUCUGCAACCCGACUUCGUGAAGCUGGAUUCGCUAGUAAUCGCGCAUCAGCCACGGCGCGGUGAAUACGUUCCCGGGCCUUGUACACACCGCCCGUCAAGCCAUGGGAGCCGGGGGUACCUGAAGUACGUAACCGCAAGGAUCGUCCUAGGGUAAAACUGGUGACUGGGGCUAAGUCGUAACAAGGUAGCCGUACCGGAAGGUGCGGCUG
rnacentral:rRNA from 1 species